rnacentral:rRNA from 1 species
CACUGCAUUCUGUGCAGUAUCCUAAGUUGAAUACAUAGACUUAGAGAAGCGAACCCGGAGAACUGAACCAUCUAAGUACCCGGAGGAAAAGAAAUCAACCGAGAUUCCGCAAGUAGUGGCGAGCGAACGCGGAGGAGCCUGUACGUAAUAACUGUCGAGAUAGAAGAACAAGCUGGGAAGCUUGACCAUAGUGGGUGAUAGUCCCGUAUUCGAAAUCUCAACGGUGGUACUAAGCGUACGAAAAGUAGGGCGGGACACGUGAAAUCCUGUCUGAAUAUGGGGGGACCAUCCUCCAAGGCUAAAUACUCAUCAUCGACCGAUAGUGAACCAGUACCGUGAGGGAAAGGCGAAAAGAACCCCGGGAGGGGAGUGAAAUAGAACCUGAAACCUGAUGCAUACAAACAGUGGGAGCACCCAUGUGGUGUGACUGCGUACCUUUUGUAUAAUGGGUCAACGACUUACAUUCAGUAGCGAGCUUAACCGAAUAGGGGAGGCGUAGGGAAACCGAGUCUUAAUAGGGCGAAGAGUUGCUGGGUGUAGACCCGAAACCGAGUGAUCUAUCCAUGGCCAGGUUGAAGGUGCCGUAACAGGUACUGGAGGACCGAACCCACGCAUGUUGCAAAAUGCGGGGAUGAGCUGUGGAUAGGGGUGAAAGGCUAAACAAACUCGGAGAUAGCUGGUUCUCCCCGAAAACUAUUUAGGUAGUGCCUCGAGCAAGACACUGAUGGGGGUAAAGCACUGUUAUGGCUAGGGGGUUAUUGCAACUUACCAACCCAUGGCAAACUAAGAAUACCAUCAAGUGGUUCCUCGGGAGACAGACAGCGGGUGCUAACGUCCGUUGUCAAGAGGGAAACAACCCAGACCGCCAGCUAAGGUCCCAAAUGAUAGAUUAAGUGGUAAACGAAGUGGGAAGGCCCAGACAGCCAGGAUGUUGGCUUAGAAGCAGCCAUCAUUUAAAGAAAGCGUAAUAGCUCACUGGUCGAGUCGUCCUGCGCGGAAGAUGUAACGGGGCUCAAAUCUAUAACCGAAGCUGCGGAUGCCAGUUUACUGGCAUGGUAGGGGAGCGUUCUGUAGGCCGAUGAAGGUGCAUUGUAAAGUGUGCUGGAGGUAUCAGAAGUGCGAAUGUUGACAUGAGUAGCGAUAAAGCGGGUGAAAAGCCCGCUCGCCGAAAGCCCAAGGUUUCCUACGCAACGUUCAUCGGCGUAGGGUGAGUCGGCCCCUAAGGUGAGGCAGAAAUGCGUAGUCGAUGGGAAACAGGUUAAUAUUCCUGUACUUGAUUCAAAUGCGAUGUGGGGACGGAGAAGGUUAGGUUAGCAAGCUGUUGGAAUAGCUUGUUUAAGCCGGUAGGUGGAAGACUUAGGCAAAUCCGGGUCUUCUUAACACCGAGAAGUGACGACGAGUGUCUACGGACAUGAAGUAACCGAUACCACGCUUCCAGGAAAAGCCACUAAGCUUCAGUUUGAAUCGAACCGUACCGCAAACCGACACAGGUGGGCAGGAUGAGAAUUCUAAGGCGCUUGAGAGAACUCGGGAGAAGGAACUCGGCAAAUUGAUACCGUAACUUCGGGAGAAGGUAUGCCCUCUAAGGUUAAGGACUUGCUCCGUAAGCCUCGGAGGGUCGCAGAGAAUAGGUGGCUGCGACUGUUUAUUAAAAACACAGCACUCUGCUAACACGAAAGUGGACGUAUAGGGUGUGACGCCUGCCCGGUGCUGGAAGGUUAAUUGAAGAUGUGAGAGCAUCGGAUCGAAGCCCCAGUAAACGGCGGCCGUAACUAUAACGGUCCUAAGGUAGCGAAAUUCCUUGUCGGGUAAGUUCCGACCCGCACGAAUGGCGUAACGAUGGCCACACUGUCUCCUCCCGAGACUCAGCGAAGUUGAAGUGGUUGUGAAGAUGCAAUCUACCCGCUGCUAGACGGAAAGACCCCGUGAACCUUUACUGUAGCUUUGCAUUGGACUUUGAAGUCACUUGUGUAGGAUAGGUGGGAGGCUUAGAAGCAGAGACGCCAGUCUCUGUGGAGCCGUCCUUGAAAUACCACCCUGGUGUCUUUGAGGUUCUAACCCAGACCCGUAAUCCGGGUCGGGGACCGUGCAUGGUAGGC